rnacentral:RNase_P_RNA from 1 species
CCGAGCGCUCGAGGUGCCCGCGGCCCGCGCCUGGCGCGGACUGAGGAAAGUCCGGACUCCGAAGAGCAAGAAGCUGGGUAACGCCCAGGUGGAGCAAUCCAACGGAAAGUGCAGCAGAGAGCAGACUGCCGAUCCGGGAAACCGGAGGCGAUGGUGAAACGGUGGGGUAAGAGCCCACCAGUGGUCCGGGUGACCGGGCCAGCUCGGUAAACCCCUUCUGGAGCAAGACCAAAUAGGGGGGAGAUGAGGCGGCUCGCCGAUCCCCCGGGUAGGUCGCACGAGCCUAGGAGCAAUCCCAGGCCAAGAGAGAUGGGCAUCGAUCGGGCCAAAAGCCCGAUACAGAAUCCGGCUUACGGAGCACUCGGGACC